CUGCCGGCGACCGGCGCACGGGUGAGUAACACGUAUGCAACCUGCCCUCCGCAGGGGGAUAACCCGGAGAAAUCCGGACUAAUACCGCGUGGUACAUCUGUGGGGCAUCCCACGGGUGUUAAAAGGAAGCGAUUCCGGCGGAGGAUGGGCAUGCGGCGCAUUAGCUAGUUGGCGGGGUAACGGCCCACCAAGGCGACGAUGCGUAGGGGUUCUGAGAGGAAGGUCCCCCACACUGGUACUGAGACACGGACCAGACUCCUACGGAAGGCAGCAG
rnacentral:rRNA from 1 species